AUUUUGCCAGGUGAGGAAAAACUGUCAGAAUGUUGUGGGCCAGUAGAUCCUGUCUGGUCAAAAUUCCAAUUACAGGGCAUACCUGUGAGAUCACAUGAUUAGGUCUGUCCUAUAUGAUCAUUUUGAAUAAUUAAAAUAUUAACAUAAGUUUUGAAUGGUAUUGAUAUUUACUAGUAUGUUCAAUAUACUCACCCCUGAUGCCUGAUAUUUGGGUACUACAAGCAGAUGACGAAGUCCAACUUGGUGGAAGAGAAUCAUUGCUUUCGCCACUGAUAUGCUCUCUAAAACAGUAAACGGAGUUGUAUUGGUGAGAGGAUGUAAAUCAACAAACAUCUCCAUUUCUUCCCUUGUUAUAGCCACCUCUUCAAUAUUCCCUUCUCUCUCUGCCAGCUCUACCCAGGUAAAUUUCUCUCUUGCUUCCCAUUCCUCUGUUCUUCUUCUCUCUUUCAAGAACCACUUUUUCUUUAAUGCUUGGAUGAGGUGUGCUCUUAGUAUUAGUCCAUGCAGUUCCAUUGCCCCAUUGGCGUGUCGUACUGGUGGUAUUAUCCCAUCAUCCAUCACCGGGAAGCCGUUAUGUGUAGUGUUUUUCAAAA
rnacentral:lncRNA from 1 species